UACGUAGGGUGCGAGCGUUGUCCGGAUUUAUUGGGCGUAAAGAGCUCGUAGGCGGCUCGUUGCGUCGGCUGUGAAAACCCACAGCUCAACUGUGGGCUUGCAGCCGAUACGGGCGGGCUGGAGUUCGGUAGGGGAGACUGGAAUUCCUGGUGUAGCGGUGAAAUGCGCAGAUAUCAGGAGGAACACCGGUGGCGAAGGCGGGUCUCUGGGCCGAUACUGACGCUGAGGAGCGAAAGCGUGGGGAGCGAACAGG
rnacentral:rRNA from 1 species